CCUCAUUUGUUGCUUCCCAAAUCACCCUGAUACCUCCCUCUCCCCACUUUGCCUCUUUCCCAGGCAUUCUACUACUUUCUACCAUGUCAGUUCUGCAGCAGCUGCCUUUGAGUGCAUUUCAUGAGACCGUUGCAAGGGCUCUAGAACAUCAUUUAGGAUUCACGUGCCUGAUACAUCACACGUGCCUACCCAAAUGCCUUUCUCCAUGAGGAAAAUUGUAUCUUUCAUCAAGAGCACUCAGUACAAAACCAUCACUCCUCCAUUCAAGGGCAUCUUCCCACUUGACAGUGUCUGUCUCUUGUGCAUGUUGAGGAACUCAAGUUAGCCAUGAGUUUCCAGCUCCAGCUGCAUUUUUAUACAGAAACAAUUUUUUCCUGUUUUUCCCACACUGGUUUUGCCAGCACUCAGUCAUGCCUCCGGGGAAUGCAAGCCAUUUCCACCUACUCUUCAGAGAAGUUUCAAACACAGUAAAACAUAAAAUGAAAGAAUGGAGAUGCUUGAGGUGUGAGUGGGAUGAGACUCUGCCACAAGUUUAGCUGUAUACUUCUCUGUACCUGGCUUUUCUGAGCUAAAAGUGGUCUGCGUGUGCACUGCAUUUUGUAGGUAGAGACCUGACUUGGUGAAACAGCUCUAAUAAAAUCAGAC
rnacentral:lncRNA from 7 species